CAGGUGGAAGUCCAGUUGGCAGGACGUUCGCUUUGGGUGCGAGAGGCCGCUGGUUCGAGUCCAGCUCACCUGA
rnacentral:tRNA from 1 species